AGCGAACGCUGGCGGCAGGCCUAACACAUGCAAGUCGAACGAACCCUUCGGGGUUAGUGGCGGACGGGUGAGUAACACGUGGGAACGUGCCUUUAGGUUCGGAAUAACUCAGGGAAACUUGUGCUAAUACCGAAUGUGCCCUUCGGGGGAAAGAUUUAUCGCCUUUAGAGCGGCCCGCGUCUGAUUAGCCAGUUGGUGAGGUAAUGGCUCACCAAGGCUACGAUCAGUAGCUGGUCUGAGAGGAUGAUCAGCCACAUUGGGACUGAGACACGGCCCAAACUCCUACGGGAGGCAGCAGUGGGGAAUAUUGGACAAUGGGCGCAAGCCUGAUCCAGCCAUGCCGCGUGAGUGAUGACGGCCUUAGGGUUGUAAAGCUCUUUCGCACGCGACGAUAAUGACGGUAGCGUGAGAAGAAGCCCCGGCUAACUUCGUGCCAGCCGCCGCCGUAAGAC
rnacentral:rRNA from 1 species